GCCGGGUGCAGUGGCACGUGCCUGUAGUCCCAGCCACUCGGGAGGCUGAGGUGGGAGGAUCGCUUGAACCCAGGAGUUCUGGGCUGUAGUGUGCUAUGCCAAUCGGAUGUCCACACUAAGUUCGGCAUCAAUAUGGUGACCUCCCGGGAGCAGGGGACUACCAGGUUGCCUAAAGAGGGGUGAACUGGCCCAGGUCGGAAACGGAGCAGGUCAAAAUUCCCAUGCUGAUCAGUAGUGGGAUCACGCCUGUGAAUAGCCACUGCACUCCAGCCUGGGCAACAUAACGAGACCCCAUCUCU
rnacentral:SRP_RNA from 1 species